GAUGAACGCUGGCGGCGUGCCUAAUACAUGCAAGUCGAGCGAACGGACGAGAAGCUUGCUUCUCUGAUGUUAGCGGCGGACGGGUGAGUAACACGUGGAUCACCUACCUAUAUUACUGGGAUAACUUCGGGAAACCGGAUCUAAUACCGGAUGAUAUUUUGUACCGCAUGGUUCAGAAGUGAAAGACGGUCUUGCUGUCACUUAUAGAUGGAUCCGCGCUGCAUUAGCUAGUUGGUAAGGUAACGGCUUACCAAGGCAACGAUGCAUAGCCGACCUGAGAGGGUGAUCGGCCACACUGGAACUGAGACACGGUCCAGACUCCUACGGGAGGCAGCAGUGGGGAAUCUUCCGCAAUGGGCGAAAGCCUGACGGAGCAACGCCGCGUGAGUGAUGAAGGUCUUCGGAUCGUAAAACUCUGUUAUUAGGGAAGAACAGAUGAGUAAGUAACUGUGCACAUCUUGACGGUACCUAAUCAGAAAGCCACGGCUAACUACGUG
rnacentral:rRNA from 1 species